GUGAGCACUUGUACAUCCCGAUCAGCUUGGAGUUCCGAUUGGUUGGUAGGCGCGGCGCUGGUUCGUAGGUCUCGGAUCCAGCCAGCGUGGUCUCCCUCCGGAGUUGCUCGUUCCGAUUGUGGUUGGUAGGCGCGGCGCGGCGCGGGUUCAUAGCUGGUAGCAGCAACUCUUCUGCUGCAGCCUUCUUCGCCGCCAAAAGGAAAUGAUGGUCUACGAAAUCCACUCCCAUGCCCAAAUCCAAGACCUGCAGGCCCGCUCCGAUGAGCUGGGCCACUCCAAAGACAUACAGCUUGUGAAUCUUGUCUCUUUGGAGUCGGUGCGCAUAGCGUGCGAGUCGUAUGAACUCCUCUGCCCGGUGAUCGAGGAGUUUGUGUUCUUGGCAUGCCCGGAGCUGGAAAACCUCUCGGUCGUGGCACGCUUGUCGCUGGAAAUCCAAAUGCUCGAGCAUGAUGUGUUACCCCAGCUCAAGGUUCAGGAAGCCAAGCUGGAACAGGGCGCCCUGGAAGCCCUCCUACUCAUGAAGAACUGAGCAAUUAUCCUCUUAGAUCUGAGGAAGCGCUUUAUGUUAGCCUUGGGCGUAUUGCUUGCCGAGGACGAUCUGGUCUUAGCCCGAGUCAAAAAGCUGAGCAUAAUGCUAAAGGAUACUGCUGAUGCUGUACUCAAAGGUAAUGGUAACAUUGCCUGGCUUGAGGAGCGUGUCGUGUUGCUGGUCCAGCUGGUCACCAAUGUGUUGGAGACCCCGGUUCGUUUCUGUGAUCCUGAUGAGGACUGAUGAGUAGACUUAUCAGCCAGCUCGAGGCUGUUGUGAUGAGUAUUUCUUAGGGGCGUGGCAAACAGUUUAGAAUCAACUGUUGCGAUGUAUUUCUUGGACCCUCCUUUAUGUUUGGAUGUGUUUUCUCAUUAUGUUACAACUUGCAAUUACUUUCA